AACCUACGGGAGGCAGCAGUAGGGAAUCUUCCACAAUGGACGAAAGUCUGAUGGAGCAACGCCGCGUGAGUGAAGAAGGGUUUCGGCUCGUAAAGCUCUGUUGGUAGUGAAGAAAGAUAGAGGUAGUAACUGGCCUUUAUUUGACGGUAAUUACUUAGAAAGUCACGGCUAACUACGUGCCGGCAGCCGCGGUAAUACGUAGGUGGCACGCGUUGUCCGGAUUUAUUGGGCGUAAAGCGAGUGCAGGCGG
rnacentral:rRNA from 1 species